rnacentral:lncRNA from 1 species
AGAGUACGAUGACAUGAAGAGGGUGAGGUGAAGACCAUGAAAAUGACAAAAGCAUGAAACAGAAGAUCAAUAGACAAACAGUAGACCCCAUUAUCUGGACAAGAAGAAGGCAGAGGUGUUCGAUAGGACGACGGGCCAAACCAAAGGUUACCAUGGGCCAACUUUAGCCCGCAGGCUCUACUUUGUGCAUCUCUGAUAUAAAAGGCAUACCCAUAAAUGGUUUCAAACUGUUUUUGUUCUUCUAUUGAACACUAAAGAAGCAACUUUAAAGAAUGUUUGUAACUAGUAACUAUUGGCGUUUUAGUAGGAACAUGAAUACUAUGCAAGUCAAAUGCUUAUAGUUUCUAGCAUAUAUUUCACAUUAUAGCUUUUUUGCUAUCUGUGUAAUCUCUAUGAAUAUGUAUUUUAACUUUUGCGAAAAAUUUGAA